CGCGCAGGCGGUCUUCCAAGUCAGUGGUGAAAGCCCGGAGCUCAACUCCGGAACUGCCAUUGAAACUGUUAGACUUGAGUAUGAGAGAGGUGAGUGGAAUUCCCAGUGUAGAGGUGAAAUUCGUAGAUAUUGGGAAGAACACCGGUGGCGAAGGCGGCUCACUGGCUCAUUACUGACGCUCAGGCGCGACAGCGUGGGGAUCAAACAGGAUUAGAUACCCUGGUAGUCCACGCCGUAAACGAUGAAUGCUAGCCGUUGGGCAGCUUGCUGUUCAGUGGCGCAGCUAACGCAUUAAGCAUUCCGCCUGGGGAGUACGGCCGCAAGGUUGAAA
rnacentral:rRNA from 1 species